rnacentral:tRNA from 1 species
UCCCGUGUGGCUCAGCUGGUAAAGAAUCUGCCUGCAAUGCAGUAGACCUGGGUUCGAUCCCUGGGUUGGGAA